UAUAUUUGAAAAUAUAGAAAACAUCCACAAAUAUUUAAAUGGUAAUCUAUAAUUGUUUAACAGUGCAAUUCAUUGCACGAUUCAUUGCGAUUAAUUUUUUUAAUCACUUGACAGCACUAGUUUAAAUCUAUUUAAUGGUGAAUUAAUGUAAUUUUAAGGGGUAUAUCUGGUAUAUCUGCCCCUGCGUCCCCUUAACAAUUCCUGUGGUUCUACAAUCACAUGUUUUUAUUUUUAAAAUUGUCAGUUAUUGUAAAUGUAGCAUUUUAAGAGGUUAAAAUCAGACAAGGAUUUGUUUGCAUUGUGCCACUUAACGAGUUAAAGUGCUCCAAGUCAACUUGAACCUAGUCUUCCCUUAGUAUUCCAUUCAGUUACUGUCUGCAUCAGUAAUUUUAGUGGAGCAAAGUCAGUGUUUUGUAAACUUUCCUGAGCCAUGUUUGUGUAUUGUAAUAUUGUACAGUCAUAUGUGAGCAGUGACAUUAGACAGAAGAUUCCUGCCUCAAGGAGGUGCAUCUACAGAGAAUGUAUGUCUGAGGAGGGCCAGAGGAAGAUUCUAGCUUAAUAUUUUACUUGAAAUCCUUACUUUUUUUUAAAAGGCAUUUGGUGUUGAGAGAGAGAGGUAGGAGUCAAACUACCUGGUGUAUUACUUUUUGAUGUCACUUGAGCUAGAAAAGUGCAGGGAUGAAUUACUUCUAGUAAGCUAUUACUGCUCAUUGUUACUAUAUAUUUAACAAAAUUGUAUAGUCUAAGUAAUAAAAGGAAAGACUACGCCAUAUACACCAGCUGUACAUAGUAUAUGGUUAGACUUUGCUUGCUGUUUAUUCCUUGUCCUUUGUCACUGCCUACACUGGAAGGAGAUUAGGAGUCUUCUCUGCCCUGUCGUCCUUCUUACUGGGUGCUAGUGAGUAGUUGUUAUAAUUUCCUAAAUGAUCCACAUCCUCGCUACCUGAGAGACUGACCGUCUCUCUUCCCCACUUAAUGGUGUUGCAGGAAUUGAGAUAGCUGGGAGAUUUGAACAUCUGCGCUCUGGAUACUAGAACAUUCUUAGUGGAGGGUCCUUGACAUUGGAAUUCCUUUUCCCCAUUACAGUUCAGUCUUGUUGUAAAGCUCAUAUAUUCACCCAGGGGAAUUGGACUGCAUAAAGCAGGGGUGGGCAAACUACGGCGGCCCGUUAGAUCUUUUUAUUUGGACCUCGAGCUCCCGCCAGGGAGCGGGGUUGGGGGCUUGCCCCACUCUGCCCACCCAGCACUCCUCAGCCCCCGACUCACAAUUCCCUUGAUGAGCACCAUCUUCUGGCACACAGAGCCACACUGCGCAGGCAUGAGUUCCCCCCUCCCCCCACCUCAGUAACAUCUCUUAUAGAGCCCCCACAUGCUACACCCCAUAGAGUCCCCCUCCCGCACGGGACAUUCAUAGCCCCCCAAUACAGUUUCCAUACCCAGAUGCGGCCCUCAGGCCAAAAAGUUUGCCCAUCCCUGACAUAAAAGAUGUUAACCUAUUUCGGGAUGGAAAUCUGUUUAGUAAGAUAUUAUUCAUGUGGUUUUUAUCAGUCUGUGUGCUUAGAGGUGGUCCAGUUAAUCAGUUUUGUAAAUUGAAUAAUAAAAGUUCAGAAGUUCCCUCAAUGA